rnacentral:rRNA from 1 species
CCUUAGUGGCGCACGGGUGAGUAACGCGUGGGAAUCUGCCUAUCAGUGGGGAAUAACGACGGGAAACUGUCGCUAAUACCGCAUACGCCCUUCGGGGGAAAGAUUUAUCGCUGAUAGAUGAGCCCGCGUACGAUUAGCUAGUUGGUGAGGUAAUGGCCCACCAAGGCUUUGAUCGGUAGCCGGCCUGAGAGGGCGGACGGCCACACUGGAACUGAAACACGGUCCAGACUCCUACGGGAGGCAGCAGUGGGGAAUUUUGCGCAAUGGGGGAAACCCUGACGCAGCAACGCCGCGUGGAUGAUGAAGCCCCUUGGGGUGUAAAAUCCUUUCGGCAGGGACGAAACCCGAGCAAUCGGGCGGACGGUACCUGAAGAAGAAGCCCCGGCUAACUCCGUGCCAGCAGCCGCGGUAAUACGGGGGGGGCGAGCGUUGUUCGGAAUUAUUGGGCGUAAAGGGAGCGUAGGCGGUGCGGUAAGUCUGGUGUGAAACCUCUGGGCUCAACCCAGAGCUGGCAUCAGAAACUGCCGUGCUAGAGUACGGGAGAGGAGAGUGGAAUUCCCGGUGUAGCGGUGAAAUGCGUAGAUAUCGGGAGGAACAUCG